CUCUGGGACUACAAGCAGUCUCCUUGUCUAAGUCCCAGGAAUCCAGGAUGAGGCUAAUAAGCUUAGAGAUGGAACAUCCAUUAUUCAAGUUUUUUUUUACUGUCAACUUGGACUUUGCAAGACAACAGAAGUUACAUUAAAGCUACAGGCGAUAUUUAUGGUGCUACAUCUUGGAAAAUGGACUACUACCAGAGCUCUUCCAUCCAUCCAGU